CCUACGGGAGGCAGCAGUGAGGAAUAUUGGUCAAUGGUCGGGAGACUGAACCAGCCAAGCCGCGUGAGGGAGGAAGGUACAGAGUAUCGUAAACCUCUUUUGUCAGGGAACAAAGGCGGGGACGUGUCCCCGGAUGAGUGUACCUGAAGAAAAAGCAUCGGCUAACUCCGUGCCAGCAGCCGCGGUAAUAGGGAGGAUGCGAGCGUUAUCCGGAUUUAGUGGGUUUAAAGGGUGCGAAGGCGGUCUGUUAAGUCAGCGGUCAAAGCCCGGGGCUCAACCCCGGCCCGCCGUUGAAACUGGCAGUCUCGAGUUGGAGAGAAGUAUGCGGAAUGCGCGGUGUAGCGGUGAAAUGCAUAGAUAUCGCGCAGAACUCCGAUUGCGAAGGCAGCAUGCCGGCUCCACACUGACGCUGAGGCACGAAAGCGUGGGUAUCGAACAGGAUUAGAUACCCCUGUAGUC
rnacentral:rRNA from 1 species